CUUUCUGUGUYUAUCUAGGCUAUGGYCUGUGUCAUCGAUAAAGAUGAAAWUUAAUUGUGCAAGCACAAAAUAUCCCCCUAUGUGGGUAUCAUAGAGUAAGUAAAAUAUUAUUUUACUUUCUCUAYGGUGGGWAUGUUCUGUGUGUGCAAGUGAUUUUGGGCAUAAUCUACCUAAGAACCGCUCAAGACUUAUUUCUGAGACUAAAUUAGCGCCUGUUCAAAAGGACUCAGUCAUAAAGCCGGAAAAAUUUUCUAAACACAAAAAAAUCACCCAUAAUCCUGCUGAAAGUCAGGCAUUUGAAUUGCUGCAGGAGAUGGAUUGUCGAAUCGCUUCUGAGACUGUACUAAUUCAGAGACCAGAUAAUUCGAAGCAAAAAAUACAACGCGUUGCUAAAGUGAAAAACACAAAAUCGAAGACUAAUAAGAGGAAAAUUGCGUUGAAAGAAAAAGCAGAUUCUGGAAUCCCGGUGGCAAUUCCGGAUAUUACUAAAGAGCCACAAUAUCAUGUUUUGUUGGAUCAAGGUCACUCAACUCAACUGGUUCAAAAGGCCAAUAAUGUUUUGCAAAAAUACUGAUCUUUAUUUUCAUUCAGCCCAGAAAGAAGACAUUGUAAAACCAAGAGUAGAAAGGCUUGAAGAGCAAAAGUCCACUGUGACAAAAUCUAGCAGUGAAAUUGCAUUAGAAGAUAAUUUAGUCAUUUCUGCAGCUGCGGAUGUAAGAAUACAAAAGAGCGGUAUAUUCAGUUAUUAUUUAUGUUCACCAAAACCUGUCCCUUUGUGAAAAAAAACGAAUCACUGGUUCCGAAAAACGUCGAUGCAACUAUUUGUCAAAUUGUAAUUUAAAAUUGAUUCUCAUCCAGAUUUGCCAGCCGACAAGCCAACUCCAACAUUGGAAGAUGAUAAAGAGCAAACAGUUAGCCAAGCGAUGUCUGAGAAGAAAGUAACUUUAGAAAAACCAGGAUUCCAAUUCUCAGGUUUCAGCAAAUUCAGUUCAGAACAGAACCUCUGAGUUAAAACAAGUUAUGGACGGUGCCAUUCCAAAGGCAAGUUUAGAAGACCUUGACGAGCAAGAAGAAAAUCAGAUGGACAAGAAUAUCAACACUGGAACAAAAGCUAUAGUGCGGGAAAAUGAAGUCGAUCAUGAUUUAAGUCCACAGAUACCAUCGACUGCUCCUACAUGGCAGGAAAAGCGUAACUAUAGCUUUGGCGAAUUUGGAAAAACAAGUGGUUAUUUUCUUACAUUUGGUUUUAGACAUGAGCCUCGAAAGCAAUAAAGAGAAGAGGGCGAUUAACGAGUCGGAACCCAAGUCGAAAAAUCGGUCAGCACAGGGAAUCACUAGUAAAGCUUCUAAUAAAUUACACACGACGAAAUUGAAUCCUAAGGCUGAAUUAAUAAAAGAACAAAUCAUUUCGAUGGAAGUUUUACCCAAGAAAAUACCCACAAGUGGUAAAUAAACAACGCGAAAUAUUAUAUAACUUGAUACCCUGAAAAUUGUUCACUAUUAGAUACCAAAGCGAAAAAUUUAGCAAUAACCGUAGAAGAAAGCAAACCCAAACGCGCAAGAAAAACGAAAUCAGUUCAUCAGUGAGCCCGCAAAGUCUCCAAAGUGUAAUAAUAAAAAUUAUUUGCAAACAGACAACAUUGAAGGAAUUACAGCUGCUCAAAAAAAUGGUGAAUUUUCAAGCGUUCUAAAAGUGAUAUAAUACAAAACGCAAUUUGAUAAAAAUUAAUUUAGACUCUAAAAUGGACAAAGCAAACGGGUUAAAAAUUGAAAAACCCAAAAAGCACUGUGAAAUCAGUGAGAGAGCAGCUAACUCAGAAAGUUUCCCUAAAGCAGAAAUACAAGCGGUUGAACCUGGAUUCGAAAAACUGCGUAGAAACCAAAUCGGAAGAUGAAGCGAAAGAAAAAACAAAGAAAAAUGCAAAGCUGAUAAACAUUUUGAACGUCCAGACUUUUAGCUUCCUCUGUAGUUUAAGAAUACUGGUACCUUAAACGCGUUGAUUCGCAAAAAGCACCUAAAAUUGAGAAUUUACUGGCAGAACCCAUUAUGGAAAAUUCUGCAAAAGAGCCUUUGCAAAGCAAUGCAAUUACAGGUGUGAACGACAACUUGUCAACAUCAGUAGUUUCCAACCGCAUAAUUGUAAAGGCAAUGGUACAUAAUAAUGCUAAUGGAGAGAAAGAAGCAGCAAUAAUAUCAAGUACACCAAUCGAGAAGUCCAUACAUAAUUGUGAAACUUAUAUCGCUGCCAGAUGUGAACCUAAUGAUUUAUCUCCAGAUAAAUGCGACAUUUAUUUGCUAAAUAAAUCGGAAUCGUCAACUCCCGAAGUCAGUACAAGUUAUUCAGACCAUUACGAUUGGCCUGAGAUAAAUGUUGAAGAUACAAAACGGGAAAAAAUCCGUAUUAUUCGGAAUAUUGCGGUAAGUUCAACGAUUCCAAAUAAUGCGGUUUGCAAAAUGUGUAAACACAUUCUGCUGGUUUAAGAACGAUUUUUAGCCAGUCUAACUAAAACCGUCAAUGUUUUCCUUUCGUAUA